CACAGGACUGGAAAGAAGGUUCCUUCCUCUCUUCCCUUUUUCCCUCCUUCCUUUCUUCCUACCUUCCUACCACCCUUUCUUCCAGUCAUUCGUUCAUCCAUUUAGAUCUGAGUCCUUUGUUUAUGGACUUCAGUAACAUAGCUUGAAAUUAAUCAUAGCCUUUGGCCUAAAGGCCUCCAUUCACAAGUCCUAUUUAUUGACCGUUACAUUAUUUUAUUCUUUAUUCAUUUCUUUUUCAUUUCUUCCCAAAUUGCAUCUUUCUUUCUUCCUCUCACUCUUCCUUAUGUUUCUCUGGUUCUUUCUCCUUCUUUUUUUUUUUUUCUUUUUUGAUCUAAGAUAGUGUCUUGCUCUGUAGCCCAGGCUGGAGUGCAGUGGUGCAAUCUUGGCUCACUACAACCUCCACCUCCCGGGUUCAAGCAAUUCUCCUCUCUC
rnacentral:lncRNA from 10 species